rnacentral:lncRNA from 1 species
CCCGCCGCUGGCCGGAGAGGAGCCGCGGUGCCCUCCCCGCCAAGUGACGCCUGGCCUGCCGCCGCCGGAGCAGCCGCGGCGUCUGCUCUUGGAAAGCCCAUCGCCGGCACGUCUUUUGGAUUUUAGAGGCAGAAAGGAGAAGGGACGCGCGCGCACUCGCAGGAGAGACGCCAGCUGCCUCCGGCCAUGGGGAUCGCCUGCCUGACGGGCUGAGGAGAAGGAGUUGGGGGAGGGAGACCCCCCCUCCACAAUCGGAGCCCCCUCCCUGAAACUGCUCCCGCUUUCCCCCCCCUCCCCCGCCGUGCCUGCUGAGAGAAAACUUCGCUCCGCCUGGGAUCUGUAGUCCUGUGUGUGUGUGUGUGUGUAUGCGCGGAGAAGGGGUACAUCUUUCCUCCUCCGCCAGACGAUCGUGGUCGUGGCCUUUGCAUCGAGAGACCCUUGCCUCCCUGGAGUGCUUUUGAGAAUCCCGGAGCUCUUGCGAGUAGUUUCUGUGAGUCUUUUCUUCCCUCCGCCCGCCCGGCAAAGGUCCCCCCCCUCCUCCUCAUCUUUUCCCCUUCUUUUACCCUGUUGAGCCGCCACGGUCUCUAAGUCAGCGAGGAGCGGCGGCGCCUGCUUCCUCCGGCAGAGCUGUGGCUUCGGCGCCCCGGCCGAGGGCCACGGAUUUGUGGAAGACCCAGAGCCGCGAGACAACGGGAGGCGAGCAACGGGCCGGCGAAACUGCGCUCUCCGCCCCGCCCGCCAGAAUCCUUUGCUGGACCAAGAUGACGCCUCUGGGGCCGCCUUCGCAAGAGCCCCUUCUUUUUCUUUUUUCUUUGCGGGGGAAGGAGAGUUCACUGGGGAAGGCAGGCUUCAGUGGGAUCUAAUUAUUCCCUUCCCGGAUUGCUGUGUGCGGCCUUGGUCCGAAAGGCGUCGGAGGAGCGGUUUCUUCUGAGAUCGGGCCAAAAGGACUGUUUUAAAAAAAGUGAAAAGCAAGGAGCUCCCUACACCGCUCCGCCAGUCUUCCUGUUCCUGUGAGGAUCCGGCCGCAAGCGACAGAAAAAUCAGGGAUUAUUCAGCACUCCCUGUUUCUCAUAUAUAUAUAUAUAUACAGAGAGAGAGAGAGAGAUCUGUCAAGUACUUUGGAAGUUCUCCUCCACCCCAAGCCCGUUGCUCCAGAGUCUGGUCAGCAUGGCAGGGACUACCAACUGUUUGGAGAUAACGUGUUGUGUGAUCUUCGCUCUCCUGGGCGCCCCUCCGGUCAGAGCCCAAGGCAGGAUAUGCAGAUAAAGAGGAAGACAGGAAGAGAACAAGAAAGGAAAGAGUUGGAUGAAGUUACCCAUGGAAGGACAUUGAAGGCAUGCAUGCUACGCUUUCCUCAUGUAUCGCUGUGGGUAGAGUCUCUUAACCAAGCCUCUGGUGAGAGAAAAUCAUGUUCAGACUCUCUGAUGAUGUGACUUCAGUUUGUGCAAGGAUUUUGAAGACAGAUGACAAAAUCCUCUUUUACAGAGUGCCCAUGAUCUCAAGAUGGGUAAAUGGCCAUCAAGAGGCUGGAGAUCUCAUGGCAUUGUAAAAGUGCUGCUUGAGCCCUCAAGGAACCUCCUGCGAGAGCCAGGGGAACCAGGCUUCGCAGUGGAUUUUAUCGGCUCAUAAAUAAAGCCUGAGGAUAAACACUGAAAAGCA